rnacentral:rRNA from 1 species
AUGUUGCACGGAUCGACUGGUCGAACCAUCGAAUCAAUGGAGAUUGGAGCAAGCUCGUGUGGUCGGUUGAGGAACAGAGUCUGCUUCCUCUGCGAACCCCGCGCCGCCCUUCCGUCCAGCUCGCCGCUUUCCACCAAGCUGCACCGCCCCCGUCGACCUCGUAUCUGCGCCGCACCCCCUCUGGGGCCUCCUCUUCGACGCACCGUGUCCUCAUUCUCCGGGACGCGCCGCCCCCCUCGCCUCCGCCCGGACCGCGCGGCGCCGCCUCCCCGUCUCCGCCCGCCACUGCCUGAGCAGCUCCGCGCGGCGGCAAGACCUCGCCCAAGCCGGCCGCACCAACCCUCGAGGCAGCUUACAGGGGCACCUCAUAUCAUCCCUAAUUUCACUAACAUAUUUACUGCACUUAGUAAAAAGCAGGGCUACAUUAAUCAGUACUGUUCCAAUACUGGCUGCAUUAUGCCAUAA